UACGAAAGGUGCGAGCGUUAAUCGGAAUUACUGGGCGUAAAGCGCACGUAGGCGGGUCGUUAAGUUAGAGGUGAAAUCCCGGAGCUCAACUCCGGAACUGCCUUUGAUACUGGCGGCCUUGAGUUCGAGAGAGGUGAGUGGAAUUCCGAGUGUAGAGGUGAAAUUCGUAGAUAUUCGGAGGAACACCAGUGGCGAAGGCGGCUCACUGGCUCGAUACUGACGCUGAGGUGCGAAAGCAUGGGGAGCAAACAGG
rnacentral:rRNA from 1 species